CGCACAGUAGAGCAUUGGCAGCUCGGCAGGUUCAUACCCUGCAAGUAGCUGGUUCGAUUCCAGCCUGUGCAACCA
rnacentral:tRNA from 1 species